rnacentral:rRNA from 1 species
AGAGUUUGAUCCUGGCUCAGAGCGAACGUUUGCGGCGGGCCUAACACAUGCAAGUCGAACGGUAGUCCCUUCGGGGAUGAGAGUGGCGCACGGGUGCGUAACACGUGGGUAAUCUGCCUUUUCGUUGGGGACAACCUUGGGAAACCAGGGCUAAUACCCGAUGUGUCUUUCUGAGGUGCGCCUUGGGAAGAGAAAGACCCGCAAGGGUUGCGAAGAGAUGAGCUCGCGUCCCAUCAGCUAGUUGGUGAGGUAAUGGCUCACCAAGGCGAAGACGGGUAACUGGUCUGAGAGGAUGAUCAGUCACACUGGAACUGAGACACGGUCCAGACUCCUACGGGAGGCAGCAGUGGGGAAUAUUGCGCAAUGGGCGGAAGCCUGACGCAGCCACGCCGCGUGAGCGAUGAAGGUCUUCGGAUCGUAAAGCUCUGUGGGGAGAGAAGAAGAGACCAGGUGAAGAGCCUGGGAUGACGGUAUCUCCUUAGCAAGCACCGGCUAACUCUGUGCCAGCAGCCGCGGUAAUACAGAGGGUGCAAACGUUGCUCGGAAUUAUUGGGCGUAAAGCGCACGUAGGCGGUUUUGUAAGUUGGAUGUGAAAACCCUGGGCUCAACCCUGGAAGUGCAUCCAAGACUGCAAGGCUGGAGUGUCGGAGGGGGUCGGAGAAUUCCCGGUGUAGAGGUGAAAUUCGUAGAUAUCGGGAGGAACAUCUGUGGCGAAGGCGCCGACCUGGACGAUAACUGACGCUGAGGUGCGAAAGCAUGGGGAGCAAACAGGAUUAGAUACCCUGGUAGUCCAUGCCGUAAACGAUGAGUGCUGGACGGUGGAGGAAAAGACCCCUUCGUCGUCGAAGCUAACGCGUUAAGCACUCCGCCUGGGAAGUACGGUCGCAAGACUAAAACUCAAAGGAAUUGACGG